GACGAACGCUGGCGGCGUGCUUAACACAUGCAAGUCGAACGGAAAGGCCCUGCUUGCCGGGUACUCGAGUGGCGAACGGGUGAGUAACACGUGGGUGCUCUGCCCUGCACUUCGGGAUAAGCCUGGGAAACUGGGUCUAAUACCGGAUAGGAGCCAUUUUUAGUGUGAUGGUUGGAAAGUUUUUUCGGUGUAGGAUGAGCUCGCGGCCUAUCAGCUUGUUGGUGGGGUAAUGGCCUACCAAGGCGGCGACGGGGAGCCGGCCUGGGAGGGUGGACGGCCACAUUGGGACUGAGAUACGGCCCAGACUCCGACGGGAGGCAGCAGUGGGGAAUAUGGAACAAGGGGCGCAAGCCUGAUGCAGAGACGCCGCGGGGGGGAUGACGGCCUUCGGGUUGUAAACUCAUUUCGCUAGGGACGAAGCUGUUUGUGACGGUACCUAGAUAAGAAGCACCGGCUAACUACGUG
rnacentral:rRNA from 1 species